rnacentral:lncRNA from 1 species
AUGACUCUUUCUGUGGAUGUGUAUAAAACAACUAUAGGGAUAAAAAAAAAAGUAACAAAAUGUCCCUUCUCUGAAGAGCCCAUGUUAAAUAACCAUCAAGAAUGGGAAGGAGAGUGGAUAGUGUCUCGUCUGCUGGCCAAGGUCUACGAUAAUGGAACACAUAUAAACACACACACACACACACACAGCAGACCCAGCAUUGCUCAGGACAGCCAAUAAGGAUGAAGACAGCACGACAGGGAUGAUGACCUCACUUUGCGGUACACACAAGACAUAGGAACCGAAUGCGUGUUUUCUUGCCUUUGUUUCCCUCUCUGUAUAGCUAACACUUGUAUAUUGUGAUGACGAGUAUGUGUCCGAGUUUGUAAGCAGUAACUUUCUGACAACUAUUGUACUAAAAAUGCACUCAAUAAACGCCUUGGAAAAAGAGUAAAUCGCCGGCGGUCCCAGACUCUGUGAAAGAUUAUGAUUAUUCUUGUUUUUUCCCACUUCAAUAACACAACAGAGACGUCUGAGAAGCUUUGGUGAAUAAUGC